rnacentral:tRNA from 1 species
AUUAAGUCACCUCAGUGAGGGUAACUUUGAUGUAGUUAAUUUAUUAUCUUAAAUA